rnacentral:rRNA from 1 species
GACGAACGCUGGCGGCGUGCUUAACACAUGCAAGUCGAACGGAAAGGCCCUGCUUUUGUGGGGUGCUCGAGUGGCGAACGGGUGAGUAACACGUGAGUAACCUGCCCUUGACUUUGGGAUAACUUCAGGAAACUGGGGCUAAUACCGGAUAGGAGCUCCUGCUGCAUGGUGGGGGUUGGAAAGUUUCGGCGGUUGGGGAUGGACUCGCGGCUUAUCAGCUUGUUGGUGGGGUAGUGGCCUACCAAGGCUUUGACGGGUAGCCGGCCUGAGAGGGUGACCGGCCACAUUGGGACUGAGAUACGGCCCAGACUCCUACGGGAGGCAGCAGUGGGGAAUAUUGCACAAUGGGCGGAAGCCUGAUGCAGCAACGCCGCAUGCGGGAUGACGGCCUUCGGGUUGUAAACCGCUUUCGCCUGUGACGAAGCGUGAGUGACGGUAAUGGGUAAAGAAGCACCGGCUAACUACGUG